rnacentral:rRNA from 1 species
AGUGAACGCUGGCGGUAGGCCUAACACAUGCAAGUCGAACGGCAGCACAGUAAGAGCUUGCUCUUACGGGUGGCGAGUGGCGGACGGGUGAGGAAUACAUCGGAAUCUACUUUUUCGUGGGGGAUAACGUAGGGAAACUUACGCUAAUACCGCAUACGACCUACGGGUGAAAGCAGGGGAUCUUCGGACCUUGCGCGAUUGAAUGAGCCGAUGUCGGAUUGGCUAGUUGGCGGGGUAAAGGCCCACCAAGGCGACGAUCCGUAGCUGGUCUGAGAGGAUGAUCAGCCACACUGGAACUGAGACACGGUCCAGACUCCUACGGGAGGCAGCAGUGGGGAAUAUUGGACAAUGGGCGCAAGCCUGAUCCAGCCAUACCGCGUGGGUGAAGAAGGCCUUCGGGCCGUAAAGCCCUUUUGUUGGGAAAGAAAAGCAGCAGGUUAAUACCCCGCUGUUCUGACGGUACCCAAAGAAUAAGCACCGGCUAACUUCGUG